rnacentral:lncRNA from 1 species
AGGGGACCCAGAAGGCCAGCAGCCAGGGUUCCCUGACAAAAGCAUGUAGUUGAGUACAAGUUAUCAAUCCGAGGGACAAGAGGGAGGGACAAGAACCAGUCUCAGCUGCAUUCACAUCCUGGACCCUGUCAUCUCAUUACCGAAGCCUGGGGUAGCAGUGAACACCACCCGCACGGCCCGCCUGGCCCGUCCAGCCACGCCCUGCCCUCAUCGCCCAUUGCAGGGUGCUUGAGUCCCUUACCAGGCCCAAAUUGGUUCUUGCAGUAUCUGUAUCAGGCUCUCCUUAGGGAAUGAGGGUCCUAGCGAUCCCACCUCUAUUUCUUUCCCUGUUUCUGAAUUUAAAAUCUCCCAUUCAGGAAACACUCUGCUUCACGCUGUCAUCCGUUCCUGGGCGAUGCCAGGCAGGGACAAGUGAAACUAUGAAUCAUGGAGUGGGGAAACUGAGGCACAGGUUAAAUAAUGCCCCAAAGUUACACAUUUGGAAAGCAGCAAAGGUAGGAGUGAGAAAGACAUUUAAAUCAAAGGGUUUGCUUUAAAUGAGGGAUUGUCAAAAAGUUACUAGUGGUCACAUUCUAAGCCACAGGUUCCCAGAGGGGACAAUGCAGACACAGAACAUUUCCAUCAUCAGAAAGUUCUACUGGUCAGCACAGUCUAGAGGUCACUUCUACAGCCCCUUCUUCUACCCAUUCUACGGCGGGGGGGGGGGGUGGUGG